rnacentral:lncRNA from 1 species
UAUACAGUGGCGGAUCCAGGAUUUUUGCCAAGGGGGUGCUAAAUUGUUGAAUAAAAAAUUUAAAUAUCACUUUAUAAAAAUAGUGGACCAAAAAUUUACAAUUUAGGUGAAUUGUGUAAAUAUUUAAAGAGAAAAUGGACCAAAAAUUUACAAUUUAAAAAGUUUAGGUGAAUUGUGUAAAUAUUUAAAGAGAAAAUGGACCAAAAAUUUACAAUUUAAAAAUCUUAGGUGAAUUGUGUAAAUAUUUAAAGAGAAAAAUGGUGAAAAAUGUAAAGAUUUGAAAAAAAAUCAACUUUUUAGAGGCUGGGGGUUCGAACCCGGGACCAAUUAACAAAAGAAGGAACAUCUUUACCAACUCAACCAAAUACUUUUCUUGUCAACUUAUGUAUAACGGUAUUAUUUGUUUAAAAUCAAGGGUGUGCAACUGCACACCCUAGACCAUAGCUAGAUCCGCCACUG